UACGUAGGGUGCAAGCGUUAAUCGGAAUUACUGGGCGUAAAGCGUGCGCAGGCGGUUCUAUAAGACAGAUGUGAAAUCCCCGGGCUCAACCUGGGAACUGCAUUUGUGACUGCAUAGCUAGAGUACGGUAGGAGGGGGAUGGAAUUCCGCGUGUAGCAGUGAAAUGCGUAGAUAUGCGGAGGAACACCGAUGGCGAAGGCAAUCCCCUGGACCUGUACUGACGCUCAUGCACGAAAGGCGUGGGGAGCAAACAGG
rnacentral:rRNA from 1 species